rnacentral:rRNA from 1 species
AACGAACGCUGGCGGCAGGCUUAACACAUGCAAGUCGAGCGCCCCGCAAGGGGAGCGGCAGACGGGUGAGUAACGCGUGGGAAUCUACCCAUCUCUACGGAAUAACGCAUGGAAACGUGUGCUAAUACCGUAUACGUCCUUCGGGAGAAAGAUUUAUCGGAGAUGGAUGAGCCCGCGUUGGAUUAGCUAGUUGGUGGGGUAAAGGCCUACCAAGGCGACGAUCCAUAGCUGGUCUGAGAGGAUGAUCAGCCACACUGGGACUGAGACACGGCCCAGACCCCUACGGGAGGCAGCGGUGGGGAAUAUUGGACAAUGGGCGCAAGCCUGAUCCAGCCAUGCCGCGUGAGUGAUGAAGGCCCUAGGGUUGUAAAGCUCUUUCACCGGUGAAGAUAAUGACGGUAACCGGAGAAGAAGCCCCGGCUAACUUCGUGCCAGCCGCCGCCGCCGUAA